rnacentral:rRNA from 1 species
UACGUAGGGUGCAAGCGUUUGUCCGGAAUUAUUGGGCGUAAAGAGCUCGUAGGCGGUUUGUCGCGUCUGCUGUGAAAACGCGAGGCUCAACCUCGCGCCUGCAGUGGGUACGGGCAGACUAGAGUGUGGUAGGGGAGAUUGGAAUUCCUGGUGUAGCGGUGGAAUGCGCAGAUAUCAGGAGGAACACCGAUGGCGAAGGCAGAUCUCUGGGCCGGAACUGACGCUGAGGAGCGAAAGCGUGGGGAGCAAACAGG